UACGUAGGGUGCGAGCGUUGUCCGGAAUUAUUGGGCGUAAAGGGCUCGUAGGCGGUCUGUCGCGUCGGGAGUGAAAACUCAGGGCUUAACCCUGAGCCUGCUUCCGAUACGGGCAGACUAGAGGUAUGCAGGGGAGAACGGAAUUCCUGGUGUAGCGGUGGAAUGCGCAGAUAUCAGGAGGAACACCGGUGGCGAAGGCGGGUCUCUGGGCCGUAACUGACGCUGAGGAGCGAAAGCGUGGGGAGCGAACAGG
rnacentral:rRNA from 1 species